GUGCCAGCCGCUGCGGUAAUACGAAGGGGGCUAGCGUUGCUCGGAAUGACUGGGCGUAAAGGGCGUGUAGGCGGUUUGUACAGUCAGAUGUGAAAUCCCCGGGCUUAACCUGGGAGCUGCAUUUGAGACGUGCAGACUAGAGUGUGAGAGAGGGUUGUGGAAUUCCCCAGUGUAGAGGUGAAAUUCGUAGAUAUUGGGAAGACACCGGUGGCGAAGGCGGCAACCUGGCUCAUUACUGACGCUGAGGCGCGAAAGCGUGGGGAG
rnacentral:rRNA from 1 species